GACGAACGCUGGCGGCGUGCCUAAUACAUGCAAGUCGAGCGAACCCUUCGGGGUUAGCGGCGGACGGGUGAGUAACACGUAGGCAACCUGCCUGUAAGAUCGGGAUAACUACCGGAAACGGUAGCUAAGACCGGAUAGCUGGUUUUCUCGCAUGAGGAGAUCAUGAAACACGGAGUAAUCUGUGGCUUACAGAUGGGCCUGCGGCGCAUUAGCUAGUAGGUGAGGUAACGGCUCACCUAGGCGACGAUGCGUAGCCGACCCGCGAGGGUGAUCGGCCACACUGGGACUGAGACACGGCCCAGACUCCUACGGGAGGCAGC
rnacentral:rRNA from 1 species